AUUGAACGCUGGCGGCAGGCCUAACACAAGCAAGUCGAACGGUAACAGGAAGCAGCUUGCUGCUUCGCUGACGAGUGGCGGACGGGUGAGUAAUGUCUGGGAAACUGCCUGAUGGAGGGGGAUAACUACUGGAAACGGUAGCUAAUACCGCAUAACGUCGCAAGACCAAAGAGGGGGACCUUAGGGCCUCUUGCCAUCGGAUGUGCCCAGAUGGGAUUAGCUAGUAGGUGGGGUAACGGCUCACCUAGGCGACGAUCCCUAGCUGGUCUGAGAGGAUGACCAGCCACACUGGAACUGAGACACGGUCCAGACUCCUACGGGAGGCAGCAGUGGGGAAUAUUGCACAAUGGGCGCAAGCCUGAUGCAGCCAUGCCGCGUGUAUGAAGAAGGCCUUCGGGUUGUAAAGUACUUUCAGCGGGGAGGAAGGGAGUAAAGUUAAUACCUUUGCUCAUUGACGUUACCCGCAGAAGAAGCACCGGCUAACUCCGUG
rnacentral:rRNA from 1 species